AUACGGAGGGUGCAAGCGUUGUGCGGAAUUACUGGGCGUAAAGCGCGCGUAGGCGGUCUGUUAUGUCAGAUGUGAAAGUCCUCGGCUCAACCGGGGAAGUGCAUUUGAAACUGGCAGACUUGAGUACUGGAGGGGGUGGUGGAAUUCCCGGUGUAGAGGUGAAAUUCGUAGAUAUCGGGAGGAAUACCGGUGGCGAAGGCGACCACCUGGCCAGAUACUGACGCUGAGGUGCGAAAGCGUGGGGAGCAAACAGGAUUAGAAACCCGGGUAGUCC
rnacentral:rRNA from 1 species